AGUAGAGGGUAUGGUAUCAAAUAGUUCCUCACUUUUUCAUUGUUUUUCUUGGAACCUUUGAUUUGCCAGAUUAUCAUAUACAUGAUAUUGAAGCCUAUGGACCUCUAACUAAUGCCAGCUUACUUAAGCAAGACAAAUCUUAGUUGAUAAAAAAUUGCACAUUCUAGCCGACACUUUAGUAGACAAUCUAAAAUGAACUACAAGGAGUCAUUUUCACAAAGUUAGAGUGAG
rnacentral:lncRNA from 1 species